rnacentral:misc_RNA from 1 species
AAGUCGUAACAAGGUUUCCGUAGGUGAACCUGCGGAAGGAUCAUUAAAAAGUUUGAGUGUUCACGCAUUCUAAUUUCCACCCUGUGUAUCUGUUACCGUAAGCUUUCGCUGGGCUGUGGAGGCGAGUCUUUGCGCUCGCCUCCCCUCCUGACCGGACAACAGCCCCCUCGGGAGAGUCCUGGCGGGAGCCAACCAAACAAACCCUUUUUCGUUACAUACAGUCUGAGAAUGAUCUAAAAAAUCAAUUAAAACUUUCAACAAUGGAUCUCUUGGUUCUC